GGAAGGAUCAUUACCGAGUUAGGGUCUUCUCGGCCCGACCUCCCAACCCUGUGUUUACUGAACCUUUGUUGCUUCGGCGGACCCGUCUCACGACCGCCGGGGGACCGUAAGACGUUCUCUGGUCCGCGUCCGCCGGUGGCCAAAUUUACUAAACUCUGAUUAAAAUGGGCCGUGUCUGAGUACGUUUCUUAAUUAAAGCAAAACUUUCAACAACGGAUCUCUUGGUUCUGGCAUCGAUGAAGAACGCAGCGAAAUGCGAUAAGUAAUGCGAAUUGCAGAAUUCAGUGAGUCAUCGAAUCUUUGAACGCAUAUUGCGCCCUUUGGUAUUCCGAAGGGCAUGCCUGUUCGAGCGUCAUUAUCACCCCUCAAGCCUCUCCGGCUUGGUGUUGGACGGUUCGGUUUUGGUGACAAGGCCCCUCCUAAAAUUAAUGACGGCGGCCUGUCUGACCCCCGGUACACUGAGCUUCUUAACUGAGCACGUAUCGGCUAGAGGGUAGGCAGGUCCCGGUCUCCUUCCUUAACCGGAAACUAUUUCUUAAGGUUGACCUCGGAUCAGGUAGGGAUACCCGCUGAACUUAAGCAUAUCAAUAAGCGGAGGAAAAGAAACCAACAGGGAUUGCCUCAGUAACGGCGAGUGAAGCGGCAACAGCUCAAAUUUGAAAUCUGGCCUCAUUGGGGUCCGAGUUGUAAUUUGUAGAGGAUGUUUUGGGUACCGCGCCGGUUUAAAUUUCUUGGAACAGAAUGUCAGAGAGGGUGAGAAUCCCGUCUUGGAUCGGCGUAGGGCCCGUGUAAAACUCCUUCGACGAGUCGAGUUGUUUGGGAAUGCAGCUCAAAAUGGGUGGUAAAUUUCAUCUAAAGCUAAAUAUUGGCCAGAGACCGAUAGCGCACAAGUAGAGUGAUCGAAAGAUGAAAAGCACUUUGAAAAGAGAGUUAAACAGUAUGUGAAAUUGUUGAAAGGGAAGCGCUUACAACCAGACUUGCGCGCGGCGGUUCCCCCAUCCUUCUGGUUGGGCUAUUCCGCCGUGUCCAGGCCAACAUCGGUUCUGGGGGUCGGUUAAAGGCUUGGGGAAUGUAUCUACCCUACGGGCGUAGACUUAUAGCCCCGAGCGUCAUGCGGCCUCCCGGGACCGAGGAACGCGCUCCGGCUCGGAUGUUGGCGUAAUGGUUGUCAGCGACCCGUCUUGAAACACGGACCAAGGAGUCUAACAUCUAUGCGAGUGUUUGGGUGUCAAACCCAGAACGCGGAAUGAAAGUGAACGGAGGUAGGAAGCUUUAGCUGCACUAUCGACCGAUCCUGAUGUCUUCGGAUGGAUUUGAGUAAGAGCAUAAAUGUUGGGACCCGAAAGAUGGUGAACUAUGCCUGAAUAGGGUGAAGCCAGAGGAAACUCUGGUGGAGGCUCGCAGCGGUUCUGACGUGCAAAUCGAUCGUCAAAUUUGGGUAUAGGGUAAGUUCCAUUACCUUUUCUUUUUGGUGAAUGUGUUAUACUAAUGUAAAUUUUGUAGGGCGAAAGACUAAUCGAACCAUCUGGUAGCUGGUUCCUGC
rnacentral:misc_RNA from 1 species